UAUAAUGCAGUCGAGCGAUGGAUUAAGAGCUUGCUCUUAUGAAGUUAGCGGCGGACGGGUGAGUAACACGUGGGUAACCUGCCCAUAAGACUGGGAUAACUCCGGGAAACCGGGGCUAAUACCGGAUAACAUUUUGAACUGCAUGGUUCGAAAUUGAAAGGCGGCUUCGGCUGUCACUUAUGGAUGGACCCGCGUCGCAUUAGCUAGUUGGUGAGGUAACGGCUCACCAAGGCAACGAUGCGUAGCCGACCUGAGAGGGUGAUCGGCCACACUGGGACUGAGACACGGCCCAGACUCCUACGGGAGGCAGCAGUAGGGAAUCUUCCGCAAUGGACGAAAGUCUGACGGAGCAACGCCGCGUGAGUGAUGAAGGCUUUCGGGUCGUAAAACUCUGUUGUUAGGGAAGAACAAGUGCUAGUUGAAUAAGCUGGCACCUUGACGGUACCUAACCAGAAAGCCACGGCUAACUACGUGCCAGCAGCCGCGGUAAUACGUAGGUGGCAAGCGUUAUCCGGAAUUAUUGGGCGUAAAGCGCGCGCAGGUGGUUUCUUAAGUCUGAUGUGAAAGCCCACGGCUCAACCGUGGAGGGUCAUUGGAAACUGGGAGACUUGAGUGCAGAAGAGGAAAGUGGAAUUCCAUGUGUAGCGG
rnacentral:rRNA from 1 species